rnacentral:rRNA from 1 species
GUGUCAGCCGCCGCGGUAAUACGUAGGGGGCAAGCGUUGUCCGGAAUUACUGGGCGUAAAGCGCACGCAGGCUGAAUUAUAAGUCGGUAGUCAAAGGCGGAGGCUCAACUUCCGUUUAUCUAUCGAAACUGUAAAUCUAGAGUAUGUGAGAGGGAAGUGGAAUUCCCGGUGUAGCGGUGAAAUGCGUAGAUAUCGGGAGGAACAUCAGUGGCGAGGGCGGCUUCCUGGCACAAUACUGACGCUCAUGUGCGAAAGCUAGGGUAGCGAACGGGAUUAGAUACCCCGGUAGUCCUAGCCGUAA